rnacentral:miRNA from 1 species
GAUGGGUUCGGGUCUAGUGGCACG